GUAAGGUGUUGAAUAAUGUUCCCACUAAUUGCAGAUAAAUAUAACAUGAAGGUAAAAGGUUUCUGUAAGAGACCAAGUGUGUUUUGGUGCAUGCUUAUUGUACAGAGUUGUGAGCUAUCAUAGAGACAGUGGUUUGCCAAACAAAGGAAACUCUGACGCACAGAUGGUUUAGCUUAAGCAGUAAAUAUAAGAUAGUUAGGGUCACAGCGGCCUCGAGCAAAGUACAUUGAGUAAUAAUAACGAGUGAAUCGGGGACAAAAUGUACCGCUUUGUGUGAAAGAGCAAAUGAAGACAAGACACAGCGCAUUGGCCUCAACCCUGGCAUGUGUUGUGUGAAGAUAAAUCUCCCUGUGCUGGAGAAAAGAGGGGGUCCAAGAAAGAAAGUGUAAGAAAUGAGGGGAGGUAUAAAUCGGGGCUCACAAGGUCUGAUAGUCUAGAGAUGCAUGGACCAGUUCUGGCUCUUUAUCUGUUGCUAAGAAAACUUAGCCUGCACGUGCUUUGGGAUCCCACAGAUCUGUGUACUGAAACUUUGAUGCUCGACUCAUUAAACAAAUGUAUUUGACUUUA